GGCAAGUCAUCACUAUGAUUGGGAAAGAAGCCAAAAUUAUAAUAAAAUGAAAACCUGUGCAUCAAAUCUGAAGGAUGAGUAUAAAAUAGGAUAAACAGUCUUAAAUGAAGAAAUUCAAAAAUAGGAAGCUGAAUUACUUCUCUGAGGAUGUCUUGUCACUAAAACAUGGAGAAUCCAACCUACCCUGCGUAGUUGUGGAAUCCCUCAGAUGACAGCAGUGAAGGGCUUUUGUGAUGAUCAUAGGAAGUUAUGUAUAUGAAAGUACCUUGAAAAAUAUAAACUGUUAUGAAUACGUACAAGCGGUAACAGAAGUCCAACCAAAAUUCCAAAGUGCAUCCUGAUUUCUUUCUCGAUUGUGAUGUUACAAGAACUCAGCUUCUUUUUCUCGAAUCACAAAAUACCAAUACGUGAAAAAUGACCCUGCCCUUUAGAAACUAUUUCAAACCUGUAACCAAGAGUGUAUAUUUUCUUUUGCCACCUGCAAAAUGUAUAAUAAAAAAAAUAGUUCAGCCUCUGAAGAAUAUACAAUUGUCAAAAAUCAAAAUGAAAACUCAAAGGAAAAUGUAAGAAAUAGCAACACUUCCCAUCAGCAGGUAAAUAAGUCUUUGAUAGAUCAGAACUGGGAACAACUGUCUGGAGGAGGAACAUUCUA
rnacentral:lncRNA from 1 species